rnacentral:rRNA from 1 species
UGCGCCUUGCCAGCCCGCCUACAGAAACUUAAAGGAAGUUGACGGGGGCCCGGCACAAGCGGUGGAGCAUGUGGUUUAAUUCGAUGAUACGCGAGGAACCUUACCUGGGCUCAAAUGUAUGUUGACGUAUUCUGAAAGGGAUACUUCUUCGGACAAUAUACAAGGUGCUGCAUGGUUGUCGUCAGCUCGUGCCGUGAGGUGUCGGGUUAAGUCCCAUAACGAGCGCAACCCCUACCUUUAGUUGCCAUCAGGUUAAGCUGGGGACUCUAAAGGAACUGCCUACGCAAGUAGUGAGGAAGGCGGGGAUGACGUCAAAUCAGCACGGCCCUUACGUCCAGGGCUACACACGUGCUACAAUGGCCGGUACAAAGGGCAGCUACCUGGUGACAGGAUGCUAAUCUCAAAAGCCGGUCUCAGUUCGGAUCGAAGUCUGCAACCCGACUUCGUGAAGCUGGAUUCGCUAGUAAUCGCGCAUCAGCCAUGGCGCGGUGAAUACGUUCCCGGGCCUU